rnacentral:snoRNA from 2 species
GUUUGAAAUGAGGAAAACCAAUCCAUAACCAAAUCUCUGCAUCUAACAGAUGAUGAGAAACAACAUGCACUACCAUCUGAUCUCAC